UACGUAGGUGACAAGCGUUGUCCGGAUUUACUGGGCGUAAAGAGCGCGCAGGCGGUCGAUCAAGUCGAGUGUGAAAGCCCCCGGCUCAACUGGGGAGGGUCAUUCGAUACUGAUCGACUCGAAGGCAGGAGAGGGUAGUGGAAUUCCCGGUGUAGUGGUGAAAUGCGUAGAUAUCUGGAGGAACACCGGUGGCGAAGGCGGCAUCCUGGACCGACACUGACACUGAGGAGCGAAAGCCAGGGGAGCAAACGGG
rnacentral:rRNA from 1 species